rnacentral:rRNA from 1 species
AUCAACUUUCGAUGGUAGGAUAGAGGCCUACCAUGGUGGUAACGGGUAACGGGGUGUUAGGGCACGACACCGGAGAGGGAGCCUGAGAAACGGCUACCACAUCCAAGGAUGGCAGCAGGCGCGCAAAUUACCCAAUCCCGACACGGGGAGGUAGUGACAAUAAAUAACAAUACGGGGUUCUAUAGGAUUUCGUAAUUGGAAUGAGUACAAUUUAAAUCUCUUAACGAUCAACAAUUGGAGGGCAAGUCUGGUGCCAGCAGCCGCGGUAAUUCCAGCUCCAAUAGCGUAUAUUAAAGUUGUUGCAGUUAAAAAGCUCGUAGUUGAAUUUUAGACCUGGCCGGGCGGUCCGUCUUUGGCGAGUACUGUCUGCUGUCGGGUCUUCCUUCUGGUGAACCAGUAUGUCCUUUAUUGGGUGUGUUGGGGAGCCAGGACCAUUACCUUGAAAAAAUUAGAGUGUUUAAAGCGGGCUAUUGCUUGAAUAGAUUAGCAUGGAAUAAUGAAAUAGGACGUUUGAACCUAUUUUGUUGGUUUCUAGGAUCGACGUAAUGAUUAAUAGGGAUAGUUGGGGGCAUUAGUAUUCAAUUGUCAGAGGUGAAAUUCUUGGAUUUAUUGAAGACUAACUACUGCGAAAGCAUUUGCCAAGGAUGUUUUCAUUAAUCAAGAACGAAAGUUAGGGGAUCGAAGACGAUCAGAUACCGUCGUAGUCUUAACCAUAAACUAUGCCGACUAGGGAUCGGAUGAUGUUAAUUUUUUAAUGACUCAUUCGGCGCCUUACGGGAAACCAAAGUGUUUGGGUU